rnacentral:rRNA from 1 species
UCGAACGGAAUCCAAGGAGUGCUUGCACUCCUGAAGAUUUAGUGGCGAACGGGUGAGUAACACGUGAGAAACCUGCCCCAGACUCUGGGAUAACCCAAGGAAACUUGAGCUAAUACCGGAUAUUCUCCUUUGGUCGCAUGGCCAGUUGAGGAAAGUUUUUCGGUCUGGGAGGGUCUCGCGGCCUAUCAGCUAGUUGGUGGGGUAACGGCCCACCAAGGCUACGACGGGUAGCUGGUUUGAGAGAACGAUCAGCCACACUGGAACUGAGACACGGUCCAGACUCCUACGGGAGGCAGCAGUGGGGAAUCUUGCGCAAUGGGCGAAAGCCUGACGCAGCAACGCCGCGUGCGGGAUGAAGGCCUUCGGGUUGUAAACCGCUUUCAGCAGGGACGAAAAUGACGGUACCUGCAGAAGAAGCCCCGGCUAACUACGUGCCAGCAGCCGCGGUAAUACGUAGGGGGCAAGCGUUGUCCGGAUUUAUUGGGCGUAAAGAGCUCGUAGGCGGUUCCGUAAGUCGAGUGUGAAAAAUCUGGGCUCAACCCAGUGGAGCACUCGAUACUGCGGUGACUAGAGUACGGUAGAGGAGUGUGGAAUUCCUGGUGUAGCGGUGAAAUGCGCAGAUAUCAGGAGGAACACCAACGGCGAAGGCAGCACUCUGGGCCGGUACUGACGCUGANGAGCGAAAGCGUGGGGAGCAAACAGGAUUAGAUACCCUGGUAGUCCACGCCGUAAACGUUGGGCACUAGGUGUGGGAAGGAAUCAACCCUUUCCGUGCCGUANCUAACGCAUUAAGUGCCCCGCCUGGGGAGUACGGCCGCAAGGCUAAAACUCAAAGGAAUUGACGGGGG